AGCAGCCGCGGUAAUUCCAGCUCCAAUAGCGUAUAUUGAAGUUGUUGCAGUUAAAAAGCUCGUAGUUGAAUUUCGGGGUUAGUAGAUUGGUCAUGCCUCUGGUAUGUACUGGUCUCACUGAUUCCUCCUUCCUGAUGAACCUUAAUGCCAUUAAUUUGGUGUUUUGGGGAAUUUGGACUGUUACUUUGAAAAAAUUAGAGUGUUUAAAGCAAGCUAACGCUUGAAUACAUUAGCAUGGAAUAAUGAAAUAGGACGUUCGAUCCUAUUUUGUUGGUUUCUAGGAUUGACGUAAUGAUUAAUAGGGAUAGUUGGGGGCAUUAGUAUUCAAUUGUCAGAGGUGAAAUUCUUGGAUUUAUUGAAGACUAACUACUGCGAAAGCAUUUGCCAAGGAUGUUUUCAUUAAUCAAGAACGAAAGUUAGGGGAUCGAAGACGAUCAGAUACCGUCGUAGUCUUAACCAUAAACUAUGCCGACUAGGGAUCGGAUGAUGUUAAUUUUUUAAUGACUCA
rnacentral:rRNA from 1 species